rnacentral:rRNA from 1 species
GACGAACGCUGGCGGCGUGCCUAAUACAUGCAAGUAGAACGCUGAAGGAGGAGCUUGCUUCUCUGGAUGAGUUGCGAACGGGUGAGUAACGCGUAGGUAACCUGCCUGGUAGCGGGGGAUAACUAUUGGAAACGAUAGCUAAUACCGCAUAAUAAUAGAUGUUGCAUGACAUUUGCUUAAAAGGUCAAUUGCAUCACUACCAGAUGGACCUGCGUUGUAUUAGCUAGUUGGUGGGGUAACGGCUCACCAAGGCGACGAUACAUAGCCGACCUGAGAGGGUGAGCGGCCACACUGGGACUGAGACACGGCCCAGACUCCUACGGGAGGCAGCAGUAGGGAAUCUUCGGCAAUGGACGGAAGUCUGACCGAGCAACGCCGCGUGAGUGAAGAAGGUUUUCGGAUCGUAAAGCUCUGUUGUAAGAGAAGAACGAGUGUGAGAGUGGAAAGUUCACACUGUGACGGUAUCUUACCAGAAAGGGACGGCUAACUACGUG